rnacentral:lncRNA from 1 species
ACCUUUCCAGGUCCCCACGCCUUCCUGCUGGUCACACCACUGGGCUCUUCCUUAAAGAGUGGUGACAGUGUGUUCAGCAUCAUCAAACGUAUUUUUGGAGAAAAAUUCAUCAAGUUUACAAUUAUUCUCUUUACCAGGAAAGAAGAUUUUGAGGGUCAGGAUCUAGAUACAUUUACAAAGGAAAACGAUGCUCUCUGUAAUCUCAUCCAGAUAUUUGAAGGAAGAUACGCAGUCUUCAACUACCGGGCAACUGUGGAGGAGGAGCAGAGCCAGAACUCUUAAACAUCAUCCUCUUGGGAAGGAGUGGAGUUGGAAAGAGUGCAACUGGGAACACUAUCCUGGGGAGACCUGCCUUCGUCUCUCAGCUCAGAGCUCAGCCGGUCACCAGUAGGAGUCAGAGUGGCAGGAGGACACUGGACUGGCAGGAUAUUGUGGUUGUGGACACUCCAUCACUCAACCAGAUGUCUGGUACUGAAAAGAAUCCUGCCCAGUUAAAGAAGGAGAUCAAACAAUGUUUGCUUCAAAACUGCGAAGAAGGCAUGAAGGUUUUUGUCCUGGUAUUCCAGCUGGGACGGUUCACCCAGGAAGACGAGGCAGUGGUGGAGCAACUGGAGGCCAGUUUUGAGGAAAACAUUAUGAAAUACAUGAUUGUGCUGUUUACACGAAAGGAAGACCUAGGGGAUGGGGACCUUUAUGAUUUUACUA